CCUACGGGUGGCAGCAGUGGGGAAUAUUGGUCAAUGGGCGAAAGCCUGAACCAGCCAAGUCGCGUGAAGGAUGACUGCCCUAGGGGUUGUAAACUUCUUUUAUAAAGGAAUAAAGCGAGGCACGUGUGCCUUUUUGCAUGUACUUUAUGAAUAAGGAUCGGCUAACUCCGUGCCAGCAGCCGCGGUAAUACGGAGGAUCCGAGCGUUAUCCGGAUGUAUAGGGUUUAAAGGGAGCGUAGAUGGGUUGUUAAGUCAGUUGUGAAAGUUUGCGGCUCAACCGUAAAAUUGCAAUUGAUACUGGCCGUCUUGAGUGCAGGUGAGGUAGGCGGAAUUCGUGGUGUAGCGGUGAAAUGCUUAGAUAUCACGAAGAACACCGAUUGCGAAGGCAGCUUACUAAACUGUGACUGACAUUGAGGCUCGAAAGUGUGGGUAUCAAACAGGAUUAGAUACCCUAGUAGUC
rnacentral:rRNA from 1 species